rnacentral:rRNA from 1 species
AGCGAACGCUGGCGCCAGGCUUAACACAUGCAAGUCGAGCGGGCAUCCUUGUGGUGUCAGCGGCAGACGGGUGAGUAACGCGUGGGAACGUGCCCUUCGGUUCGGAAUAACUCAGGGAAACUUGAGCUAAUACCGGAUACGUGCGAGAGCAGAAAGGUUUAUCUGCCGAAGGAUCGGCCCGCGUCUGAUUAGCUAGUUGGUGAGGUUACGGCUCACCAAGGCGACGAUCAGUAGCUGGUCUGAGAGGAUGAUCAGCCACACUGGGACUGAGACACGGCCCAGACUCCUACGGGAGGCAGCAGUGGGGAAUAUUGGACAAUGGGGGCAACCCUGAUCCAGCCAUGCCGCGUGAGUGAUGACGGCCUUAGGGUUGUAAAGCUCUUUUCUCCGGGACGAUAAUGACGGUACCGGAGGAAUAAGCCCCGGCUAACUUCGUG